GAGAAGACAGAGGGAGGUGAGGAGAGAGGGAGAGGAAAGGUGAAAUAGCGUAACAGGACAGAGAAGGUACAUACUGUAUAUGUGUGUGUGUGUUACAGGGUGUCACUAGCAGUGUGACAUCUGCUGGGAGUCAGCACCCCUGUUGCUCCCUCCCUUGCGCCCUCCCCCUCCCUCUUCAUCCCUCCCCUAACUCCCUUCCUCCCUCUCUCCCUCCCCCUCCUCCUCACCCCGUGCCCUGGAGUCGCGCCAGGGCUC